AGACCUUGGGGGUGUCUGCCAACUCUGUGCCCAAGGUGACCAGGUGCUGGCGCAGACCGAAGGUACUUGUCACCCAGUUUUCUCCAAGACACCACUACCUGCUAAGAGGCUGAACCUGCUUCCUGAGGAGAUCCUGAAGAAGCAACAUCCUGGCACAGAGUGAUGAGAGCUUGGAGACAAAGCAACAGGAGCAUGACAUUGUUGGGGAUGGGCCUUCCCCUUUAUAAGCUCAGACCUUUAAGUAAACUUUGGGCUUUGAUCAA